ACUCCUACGGGAGGCAGCAGUGGGGAAUUUUGGACAAUGGGCGAAAGCCUGAUCCAGCCAUGCCGCGUGCAGGAUGAAGGCCUUCGGGUUGUAAACUGCUUUUGUACGGAACGAAAAGCCUCUUUCUAAUAAAGAGGGGUCAUGACGGUACCGUAAGAAUAAGCACCGGCUAACUACGUGCCAGCAGCCGCGGUAAUACGUAGGGUGCAAGCGUUAAUCGGAAUUACUGGGCGUAAAGCGUGCGCAGGCGGUUUUGUAAGACAGAGGUGAAAUCCCCGGGCUCAACCUGGGAACUGCCUUUGUGACUGCAAGGCUGGAGUGCGGCAGAGGGGGAUGGAAUUCCGCGUGUAGCAGUGAAAUGCGUAGAUAUGCGGAGGAACACCGAUGGCGAAGGCAAUCCCCUGGGCCUGCACUGACGCUCAUGCACGAAAGCGUGGGGAGCAAACAGGAUUAGAUACCCU
rnacentral:rRNA from 1 species